GCGAGAGUAGUUAAGUGAUUAUAACGUUGGAAAAUCCAUUCCAAAAUCGGUGGUUUGAAUCCAUCCUCUCUGCU
rnacentral:tRNA from 1 species